UUUCUUCUAUAUGCUAGUUGUUCAGAAUUAAUUAAGAUUUUAUAAGAAAAGUAGAAACAAAUGCUUUUUAGCCACUGUAGGAUUGCUCUAUUGUGCUUAGCGGUUUACCUUUUUCAUGUAAAUUAUCGUUAUAAUUUUGGCUUGGUAAGAAAAUUUUCAUUUCAUUAAACUUUUUGUCCUUUUUUUUCAAAACAUAGAUCAUGUAUUUUAAAGUUUUGCAUUAUCAAAAUACGCGGGGCGGUGUGGUAAACAAAGUUUAUAAAUGGUUUUUGGAUUGAAAGCUUAGGCCUAUAUUCAGGUAAACUUUCAACAAAGUGUACCAUGUAUUUAUAUAUAAUGUAAAUAGAUACAUGUAUUUUUUCUUUUUUAGAUAUGAUCACCUCAGUCCAAUAUUGUUAUAGUUUUGUUUAAAGAUCAAGAAAUAAAACAAGAGUUAUGUU
rnacentral:misc_RNA from 1 species